rnacentral:rRNA from 1 species
AACGAACGCUGGCGGCGCGCCUAAUACAUGCAAGUCGAGCGAGAAGACGUAGCAAUACGUUUGUAAAGCGGCGAACGGGUGAGGAAUACAUGGGUAAUCUACCAUCGAGUGGGGAAUAACCAACCGAAAGGUUGGCUAAUACCGCGUACGCCUCCGAAUCUUCGGGUUCGGAGGGAAAGCUGCACUGUGAGUGUAGCGCUCUUUGAUGAGCUCAUGUCCUAUCAGCUUGUUGGUAGGGUAACGGCCUACCAAGGCUUUGACGGGUAGCUGGUCUGAGAGGACGAUCAGCCACAAUGGCACUGAAACACGGGCCAUACUCCUACGGGAGGCAGCAGUGGGGAAUUUUGCGCAAUGGGCGAAAGCCUGACGCAGCAAUGCCGCGUGAAGGAUGAAGGUCCUCUGGAUUGUAAACUUCUUUAGAGGGAGACGAGAAAGGACGGUAUCCCUAGAAUAAGCGACGGCAAACUACGUGCCAGCAGCCGCGGUAAAUGACGUC